rnacentral:rRNA from 1 species
UACGUAGGGUGCAAGCGUUGUCCGGAAUUAUUGGGCGUAAAGAGCUCGUAGGCGGUUUGUUGCGUCGGCUGUGAAAUCCCGAGGCUCAACCUCGGGUCUGCAGCCGAUACGGGCAAGCUAGAAUUCGGUAGGGGAGACUGGAAUUCCUGGUGUAGCGGUGAAAUGCGCAGAUAUCAGGAGGAACACCGGUGGCGAAGGCGGGUCUCUGGGCCGAUAUUGACGCUGAGGAGCGAAAGCGUGGGGAGCGAACAGG